rnacentral:rRNA from 1 species
GCUCAAAUUUGAAAUCUUCAAGGUUUUACCUUGACGAAUUGUAGUUUAAAGAAGUGUUUUCUGUUGGUGUUUUGGUAAAAGUUCUUUGGAAUAGGACAUCAUAGAGGGUGAGAAUCCCGUAUUUGACCAUUACUUCCAGCGUUGUGAUACACUUUCAAAGAGUCGGAUUGUUUGGGAAUGCAGUCCAAAAUGGGUGGUAAAUUUCAUCUAAAGCUAAAUAUUGGCGAGAGACCGAUAGCGAACAAGUACCGUGAGGGAAAGAUGAAAAGAACUUUGAAAAGAGAGUUAAACAGUACGUGAAAUUGUCAAAAGGGAAGCGUUUGACACCAGUGUUGUUUACUCGAAAAUCAAUUAAAAAAAGUUGGAUUUUGUAUUGUUAAGACCUUAUCAGCUUACUGUACUCUUUUCUUGCUUUUUUUAAUGCACUUUUCAUUUAACAAG